GUGCCAGCAGCCGCGGUAAUACGUAGGUGGCAAGCGUUAUCCGGAAUUAUUGGGCGUAAAGCGCGCGUAGGCGGUUUUUUAAGUCUGAUGUGAAAGCCCACGGCUCAACCGUGGAGGGUCAUUGGAAACUGGAAAACUUGAGUGCAGAAGAGGAAAGUGGAAUUCCAUGUGUAGCGGUGAAAUGCGCAGAGAUAUGGAGGAACACCAGUGGCGAAGGUGACUUUCUGGUCUGUAACUGACGCUGAUGUGCGAAAGCGUGGGGAUCAAACAGGAUUAGAAACCCCAGUAGUCC
rnacentral:rRNA from 1 species